rnacentral:misc_RNA from 1 species
GAUGAAGAACGUAGCGAAAUGCGAUAAGUAAUGUGAAUUGCAGAAUUCAGUGAAUCAUCGAGUCUUUGAACGCACAUUGCGCCCCCUGGUAUUCCGGGGGGCAUGCCUGUCCGAGCGUCAUUGCUGCCCUCAAGCACGGCUUGUGUGUUGGGCCGUCGUCCCCCUCCUAGGGGACGGGCCCGAAAGGCAGCGGCGGCACCGCGUCCGGUCCUCGAGCGUAUGGGGCUUCGUCACCCGCUCCGUAGGCCCGGCCGGCGCUUGCCGACGACCAUCAAUCUCUUUCUCCAGGUUGACCUCGGAUCAGGUAGGGAUACCCGCUGAACUUAAGCAUAUCAAUAAGCGGAGAA